rnacentral:lncRNA from 1 species
GCCAUGUGAGACAUGCCUUUCACCUUCUGUCAUGAUUGUGAGGCCUCCCCAACCACGUGGAACUGUGAGUCCAUUAAAUCUCUUUCUUUUAUAAAUUGCCCAGUCUUGGAUAUGUCUUUAUCAGCAGCGUGAAAACAGACUAAUACAACUACACAAAAAAGUCAGUGCAUCAAAACAGAAAGAAGCCCCACGAGUACAUUUGAAAUUACAGUUUAUUUAAACAGGUAAAAUUGUAUAUAUCCUUUUAAAAUGAAAAUACAAAGUAAGUGAAUCAAUAAUACAAACAUGUUUAUAGCAGUAAUUAAAAUACAGGUAACAUUUACCAGUGUGAAAAUAUCAGAAUUCCAAUCACACUUGGAUCUUCAAUGAUUGAAGUGUGCAUUCCACACAGCAGGGGCUGGUAGAUUGAAGAUAAAUUCCUCCUUUGGAUGUGCCAUCCUCAGUCAAGUUCUUCCUCAUCACCAACCAUCAGCUCACACAGUGGGGUAGCUGGCUGCUGUGGCAAUUCCACAGCUGUUCCUCCGGUCUUUGGCCAUCUUUAUGUAGCCAUCCAUGCCCCAGUUUUUACCCCAGCUGAAAGGAGAGCAGGUUUUCCAUUUCAGAGGAAGGAUAAAGCACACUGGGUUAUUAACUUAAACAGUGUGCCAGAAGCCACAGUGUGCCAGAAGCCACAGGCUUAACAUAAAGAAUCAGGAGAUGCUGAUGUUCCUGUUCAUCCCUUGUAAAUUCUUGAGUCAAAACCUGCAUAUCGCUUCAAUCCCAGACCCAAAACUGUGACCUUUCACAGAACUGCAAAAUCAGAAACAGAAAAAGGAUAGGAUGUCUUUCCAGCUGAUAUGCUUCAGAAUUAAGAAAAUGUUCAGAAUUUAGACAUGCAAUGGGACAAAUACCAUAUUAAUAUCCCCAGCAUGCUUGUGACAGUAUCUUGACGUUACAAUCAAUCAUUAAUAUUCUGUGUUCUGCCUAAGGGUGAAAAAGACUUCUGGGAUUUCAGAAAUGUGAUUAAGGGCUUGUGGUAUGUAAAUACUGAUUGCAAAAAAGGAUUCCCUUUUGAAUUUCAACUAUAAGUCUUUCUGGCAAUUUAUACCUGUUCUUCACCAGCCAAUAUUUAUUGUUAUCUGAGUCUGCUCCUUCAUAGCUGUAGCCAACUACCAGCAUAGCAUGAUCCAGGCCUUCAGGGUCACAGCGUGGCUCAAAAUAAAUUCCUGAGAGAAUAAAAUGAAGGCUGGGUGAGAAGUUCCCAAGGACACCUGACAGUAACCCACCCUGUCUCCCACAGGGAGGGAGGCAUCUCUAAAAUCAGUGAAAUGACACACAGUCCAGAUAGGGCUUAACAAGAUCUAUUGUUAUCAAGGCUAGGGAAUUAGGCUCUCAUCCACAACUAGCAGAAAUAGAAAUUAGCAUAAGUCCCUCAUAAAAAAACUUUCCUACAGGCAUAAAAGACCAUUCAUUUUAAGCUUGUAAUUCUACUCUAGAAUAUCAAUCUUAAAAAUAGCACAGAACACCAAAAUCCUUGACUCAAAAGGCUCUUUUCAGAUUUAAUCACAGAAGUAAAAAUCUUUGGAAAAAUUCUAAGAAUACAACAAUUAGUCAAUAUUUAAGUAAAUUAAACUAUACUAUAAAUAACAUAGCUAUUUAUAAAAAGUUAUGAAGUACAGGUAUUCAUGGAGAUACGCUCAAUGUAAUAUCAAAUAGAAGCAUUGGGUAUGAUUAUUGCGUGUACAGAGUCCAUCAUGCUGGUGUGUCAUGGUGGUUUACUUUUUUUCUGCAAUAAUUUCUAUGAAGAAAGAUGCUUACCUUUUUUAUAGAACUGGAAGGAGACAUGGCUUGCACCAACAGCAACAGAGAUGGGCCCCACAGUUGCCACUGCCUUCGCCAAGUCCUUCUCCCGUGAAGGGAUGUCCACAAAGCCAGUGUCAUUAGCAGCAGAAUACUUGGGAUUGUACCUACAGGUUUUAACCUUUUAAAGGUGAAGAGGGAGGCGACUUGAUUACUACCAUCCUUCUCCUGGGGAAUUCCACAGAUGUGGGGAUCUCAAGAAGCAGGCGUUCCUGGAACUGUUUCCCCUUCCUGUGCUUCUGGUGUUGAAAACCAUUCAUCACCUGCCUGAAUUCUUCAUUGGUCUUCAAAGAAAAGUAAAUAAAAUGUUAAGAAGCAAGAGAUUAAUUUGGUAAAGAACUGAGGAGGAGGGAAGCACAGAGCUGGGCAGCCCACAGCAUACUUACCAUGUCUCCAAAGGCGUUCAUGGCCAUUGUGAAGCUGUGUUUCCCUUGGCUGUAUUCCUGAUUGUGCUGCUCAAUCAUCUUCACGUCCUUCUCUCACACUGCUCUCCUCCAUCCUUCUCCAUUCUAAAGGCAAACAUGUAACUGAUGCUCUUCAUUUCUUUUUUUUUUUUGAGACGGAGUCUCACUCUGUCGCCCAGGCUGGAGUGCAGUGGCACGAUCUCAGCUCACUGCAAGCUCUGCCUCCCGGGUUCAUGCCAUUCUCCUGCCUCA